GUGGGCCCUCGAAAUCCUGUGGCGAGAGGAUUCAGUCUGUCGUGGCGGACGUGCUGGUCGGAAAAAUCGAGCAGGGCAUCCCUUGAAGGGGCCGUUCGACCGUGCGUAUCCGCCGCGUCCGACGCAUUUGUCUCUCGUCCGAAGGACGCCGCAGCCGGUCGGGCAGCGAAAGCGUGACGGCCUGAAGGCGGGGAGCCGGCAGGUGGCCGGUGGCCUGUCUCGUACGGGUCGCCGGUUGUUAGCCGUCUCCGCAGUGGCUCGUCGCUCGACCGAGGUAUCACGAGGCCCCCUGGGGGCUCUCUCGUCUCCGCCUUCCGAGGCAGUCGGGACAGGACGUCGCAGGCGAAGUCUGCCGUCCCGUCGCACUCGCCCACGAGUGGACGGGCGCACAGGCCGCACCGCUGGCGACGACGGGCCCGUCGGAGGCAGGAGGCUGGCGGCGAGUAGGUCGGUCACCCACCCGACCCGUCUUGAAACACGGACCAAGGAGUCUAACAUGUGCGCGAGUCAAUGGGUCUUGAACAGGCCCAGGGGCGCAAUGAAANGCAAAGGUCGACGCACGUCGACCGAGUUGGGAUCCCCUUCCUUAAAAAGAGGGGGCGCACCAACGACCCGUCCUAUCCGGCUCGCCGGUUGGGCGGAGUGUGAGCGUACACGCUGUGACCCGAAAGAUGGUGAACUAAUGCCCCGGGCAGGACGAGGCCAGAGGAAACUCUGGUGGAGGUCCGCAGGCGGGUUUCUUGACGUGGCAAAAUCCGAUUCGUCAGAACCCCAGGGUAUUAG
rnacentral:rRNA from 1 species